AGAGUUUGAUCCUGGCUCAGGACGAACGCUGGCGGUGCGCCUUAUGCAUGCAAGUCGAGCGAAGCUUUUCAGUAGUUUACUACAGAAAAUGACUGAGCGGCGAACGGGUGAGUAACGCGUGAGCAACCUACCUUAGUUACUGGGAUAGCCCGAGGAAACUCGGAUUAAUACCGGAUAUUCUUAUUUAAUCACAUGAUUUUUUAAGGAAAGGUCAGCCGAACUAAGAUGGGCUCGCGUUCUAUCAGCUAGUUGGUAGGGUAAUGGCCUACCAAGGCUACGACGGAUAGCUGGUCUGAGAGGACGAUCAGCCACACUGGGACUGAGACACGGCCCAGACUCCUACGGGAGGCUGCAGCAGGGAAUAUUGCGCAAUGAGCGAAAGCUUGACGCAGCGACACCGCGUGUGGGAUGACGGAUCUAGGUUUGUAAACCACUUUCAGGAGGGAAGAAAAUGACGGUACCUCCACAAGAAGCCCCGGCCAACUACGUGCCAGCAGCCGCGGUAAUACGUAGGGGGCGAGCGUUGUCCGGAUUUAUUGGGCGUAAAGAGCUCGUAGGCGGUUCAACAAGUCGGUCGUGAAAGUUCAGGGCUCAACCCUGAAAUGUCGAUCGAUACUGUUGUGACUAGGAUACGGUAGAGGUGAGUGGAAUUCCGAGUGUAGCGGUGAAAUGCGUAGAUAUUCGGAGGAACACCAAUUGCGAAGGCAGCUCACUGGGCCGCUAUCGACGCUGAGGAGCGAAAGCUAGGGGAGCAAACAGGAUUAGAUACCCUGGUAGUCCUAGCUGUAAACGAUGGAUACUAGACGUAGGAAUUGGAUUAACGAUUUCUGUGUCGUAGCUAACGCGUUAAGUAUCCCGCCUGGGGAGUACGGUCGCAAGACUAAAACUCAAAGGAAUUGACGGGACCCCGCACAAGCGGCGGAGCAUGCG
rnacentral:rRNA from 1 species